GAUGAAGAACGCAGCGAAAUGCGAUACUUGGUGUGAAUUGCAGAAUCCCGUGAACCAUCGAGUUUUUGAACGCAAGUUGCGCCCGAAGCCACUAGGCCGAGGGCACGCCUGCCUGGGCGUCACACGUCGUUGCCCCCCCAUCUACUCCUUCGGGAUUGCGGGGGGGCGGAUGAUGGCCUCCCGUGCGCCUAGCCGCGCGGUUGGCAUAAAUACCAAGUCCUCGGCGACGCACGCCACGACAAUCGGUGGUUGCGAAACCUCGGUUGCCCGUCGUGUGCGUUCGUCGCGCAUCGAGGGCUCGAAAAAAUGCUCGGCUUCGGCUCGGCUUUCAACGCGACCCCAGGUCAGGCGGGGUUACCCGCUGAAUUUAAGCAUAUCAAUAAGCGGAGGA
rnacentral:misc_RNA from 1 species